GUCAUAUGAAUUCAAGAUUAUUGGUGAAGGUUCCAAGUCUCUAUGACUUCUGGUUCUCGAAAUAGAACUUUUCAAAAAAUAUUUAUAAUUUUUAAAGGGAAAUAACUCCUUAUCAGGCUUAGUAACAAAUUAAUUGUUUAUGUUUUAAAACAUUGCCAUCUGUUCUUGUAUAUGCUGCCAUUUUCAAAUCGAUUCUAUCUCUAAUACUUUUAAAGAAAAAUACAAAUAAAAGAAAUUGCUUCAAGGGGAUAUAACUCUCAAAGGGGAUGAUGAAAUCCUAUGCAGCCUCAUAUGGUAAUACAUCAUGAUAAUAUCUACCUAUUGUCUAAAUAAGGUCAUGAUAUCUUUUAAAACAUUUAGGGGGGCCCAUGUUGAAAAAAAUCAAUAAAAGGGAGAUAACGUCUAAAGGGGAUGAUGAAAUCCUACAAAAGUUCAUCUGGCAAAAGUUCAUGAUGAGGUCUAUCGAUGGUUCAAAUUUGGUAUUGAUAACUCCAAUAGAAGCGGUAGGAGGGCGUGCCAAACAAAUGCUGGAAGGAAAAAAAAAAGAAAAAAAAAACAUUAGAAAAACAAUAAGGUCUUUCCUCGGGAAGAGGAAAGACCUUAAAAAUCAGAAAUCCCGCGUCACGCUUAGAC
rnacentral:lncRNA from 1 species